CUAAGCAUAUCAAUAAGCGGAGGAAAAGAAACCAACAGGGAUUGCCCCAGUAACGGCGAGUGAAGCGGCAACAGCUCAAAUUUGAAAUCUGGCCCCCCGGCCCGAGUUGUAAUUUGGAGAGGAUGCUUUUGGCGCGGCGCCGUCCGAGUUCCUUGGAACAGGACGCCACAGAGGGUGAGAGCCCCGUACGGUCGGACGCCUAGCCUAUACAAAGCUCCUUCGACGAGUCGAGUAGUUUGGGAAUGCUGCUCAAAAUGGGAGGUAAAUUUCUUCUAAAGCUAAAUACCGGCCAGAGACCGAUAGCGCACAAGUAGAGUGAUCGAAAGAUGAAAAGCACUUUGAAAAGAGGGUUAAAAAGUACGUGAAAUUGUUGAAAGGGAAGCGCCUGUGACCAGACUUGCGCCCCGUGGACCAUCCGGCGUUCUCGCCGGUGCACUCUGCGGGGCGCAGGCCAGCAUCGGUUCUCCUAGGGGGAUAAAGGCCGCGGGAACGUAGCUCCUUCGGGAGUGUUAUAGCCCGUGGUGGCAUGCCCCUGGGGGGACCGAGGACCGCGCUUCGGCAAGGAUGCUGGCGUAAUGGUCACCAGCGACCCGUCUUGAAACACGGACCAAGGAGUCAAGCAUUGGGGCGAGUGUAUGGGUGCCAAACCCGCACGCGAAAUGAAAGUAAACGCAGGUGAGAGCUUCGGCGCAUCAUCGACCGAUCCUGAUGUCUUCGGAUGGAUUUGAGUAAGAGCCUUACCGCUUGGACCCGAAAGAUGGUGAACUAUGCCUGAAUAGGGUGAAGCCAGAGGAAACUCUGGUGGAGGCUCGCAGCGGUUCUGACGUGCAAAUCGAUCGUCAAAUUUGGGCAUGGGGGCGAAAGACUAAUCGAACCAUCUAGUAGCUGGUUACCGCCG
rnacentral:rRNA from 1 species